UGUACUUUCUACAAACAGAUCUGCGUUUGAGUUUCACUAGAAUAGACGCAAUUAAUAAUUGAUAUUUUACUCGGAAAAGGCGACAGACUUAACGAUCACUGAAUUGCUUGUUUAUACAAGUACCGAUACGAUGUGAUAUUCUAAUGUACCGACAUGUCGGUAAACAAUCGCAAAUCGUCAGAACGAUGAUAAUUAUAUCGUCGAUAUUACUUUGCCAACGUGAAUGCUAUUACCAACGAUUAUUCGAAAAGAACGUCAUUUUCUUCCACGUAUCCCACUUUUCAUUUUCGCGCGUUGUUACAAAAAGGUGUUUCUUUAAGUGACUUAUCUGCUAGCCAAACACACGUGGAAGAAUCAGGAAAUAUUCCUUUUAUAAAUAUUGCAUCGAGCUUUUCGAACUUUUCGCCCGAGACAAUGUUAAACCAUAAACAUCUGGUACAGCAUCAAGCCUGUUUAAAAUUCACACGAAGCCGUAAAACGUGCGAUUGUUUAACUCGAUGAAGUAAAAGGAUACACUUGUAUAAUACUUUGACAAUCGUUCGCGCAAUGAUGAGAUAAGAAACAGAUAAAUCUGGAAUAAAACACACAGCUACAGAGAUACAAGCCUGAUCACGAGGGAAGGAAAGUAUUAGCAACAACGAGAAAGAUCAGAGCAGCCAUCGAACUUCUUUAUUACGGAACUUCUGCGACUCUCAGCCGAUACAAGCACCUACACGCUAGACGCACAGGUUACUUAGAGUUUACUACUGUCGUUACUUCGCGCGAGCUUCGCCACGCGAUCCUCUACUCCAAACAGACCGUUUACUAGCCCAUUCAUCGAAGGGAUCAAGAUCCCUGCGGGGUAUUUUCGUACUUUUAUCUGCAAUAACAGCACCCCGUAAACCAUUUGCUAACCAGACCAAAGCUCGCCAUACGCUGCUCUCUUGUCUGUUCUCAGGUUAUUCGUGGAUCAUGCGCGUAUAAUCUGAUUCAUAUUUUCCAGUCAAUGGUACAUCGUCAGAAGGAGUGUUCGAUGAAUCUAGAGUUCAGAGGAAAUUGAAAACGAAUAAAGUAGAGACUCUUUGUUCGUACGAGUUGAGCGAUUCAGGAAGAUUUUGAUUCUUUCGUUCAAAAUGGAGGAAUAAGGUGCGAUAUAUUGCUGUCCAAAAUAUUCCAAUUGAUUCCAACUGAUCCACGAGAUUACAACUGAUGGACCAUGUGAUUUUAUAAAUUUCAGAGAAUAUAAGAACUGUAGACUAAGUUGCUCAUUGAAUAUGUUUAGUCUAUUGUAAUAUUAUUCGUUUCGUAAUCCACUGACGAAAUGUAACUUUGCUACACUAGUUGGUUACUGUACAUAAUAUUCACGAACCUAAUUACCAAUCUUAAACAAAGAGCUGUUUUAUAGAUUUUCAGACAGAAACUGUAUUCGUACGUUCACGAAGCGAAAAGGGAAUCGAGAGAAUAACAAGGAUGGCUCGAGUUGCAAUUUCAUUUUUGAUGGUCGCGAGUCGAAGUUCCGUCAUUUCGACGACCGCGGCCCGGAAACGUAAUCAUACGCCUAAAAUUUAAACGCGCUGUUCAUGGAAUUCGAAAAAUCCGUGGACUCAAGCGAAUUUGCGUCAGAUGAUUGGUCGAUGCAUGCCGAUAUUUAAUUCAUAUCGGAUCGUUCGUUUGCAAAUACCUUGAAAAAUAUUCGUAUCGCGGUGAGCUAACUGAAUUAUAUUACCGAUAUACAGUUAUAAUAUAUCGUUCGAAUCAAUAAACAUAUUAGUUUGCACAGGCGGUAUAAGGCUGUUUUAUUUGCAUACAUAUUGAAUAAAACGUUGAACAAAUAUUAUUCUUUCCUGUCGUGCAUGGUCAUACUUCUUUUUAUUUUACUACACAAAGUACGUAUAUUCUGACUGCACUCAUUUUCAUGCGCAUGCAUCAAUGUUCACAUGCAUAUAUUUGACAGAAUGCGAUUUAAUUAUAGGGUGACCAGCAAAAAUGAUGUGUGUUGCCUGUUAAUUUAUUGUCACGAUACGAUAUGAUUGAUUUUACAGGCCUAAUAUAUGCGCGGUGAAAUAUUUGCAUCUGCAAGAGUAAGACAAUUUCGCGAUUCACAAAAUAUAUUGUAACAAAAUUUCUAACAGAACGCGCCAGAAAAGUUUUUUAUACCAAGACUAUCCAUAUAGUCUCUUAACAGGUCCGUGAAUCAUUAUCGUAUAAUCGUAGAAAAAUACUUGUUGAGAAAAUCCCACUGAAUCUAUCGUGUUUAUCGAAUCUUUAUCGUAUUGUCUUGAUUUACUUUGCAUACGUACGCAUUGUACGAAUUUAUUUAUCCAUCGUCCCUAACAGUUACAGAAAUCGGGAUUACAAUCAUUUUCUGACCAUUCGCUUUCACUGGAUCGUUAGAUCCACAAAUUGCCGCUCUUUCCAGCGCAUUUAUAAAUCGUUUCACCUCGGUAGAACAUUAUCGCAUGCAGCGAUCAUUUUCCUCACGCAUAAGUGGCAAUUAAAUUAAAAAGAAAAGAGACUGAAAUCACGUAAACGUGAUGGCAGCCGACAACAAACGUCGGAGCGAAAUUACGUUUACGCGACAGCGGCCGUCAAAGUGUUAAACAUACAUCAGCUAAGAACGGUUUUUAUAAACCUAUUCGGAAAUUGCAGCGAUUGAGUCACGUACCUAUUGAAUUUUAACCAUGUACCAUUGGUUGAAAUUAAGCGAAUAAUUAAAAUUUAUUACUCGUUGACUUUAAAGAAAUACGACAAACGUUGUUUUCGGCUACUAAUUUUUCUCUAAUUUAUACAUUUUACUAAACAUUCGUUUAUCGCUAUAAUGUAUUCACAAUAGGAAAACAAAUGGUCAGAAACGUAAACGCCUUGAUGGAUGGGACGAUUGUUCUAUCAACGACAUGAUUUUUGCAGAAGCAUCUUUUUCGAUCAUCGCCCACCGUCGAACGUAAUUUUUUCCUCUUUUUUAUUUCUCUUUUCGUUGAUACUCUUGCGUUAAGUGGAGAACAAAUAAGAAGCCAAGUGUAACCGAAGAAAAGGAAGGUUGUUUUGCACGAUUGAUUUACUUCGCGCGUUAUUUAACUGCAUUGCAACGACGCGAUAAGAAAUCGUAAACAGAAGUGGUGAAUUUUUGAUAUUUCCAUUAGAACAUCCUGUCCUUCCAACGUCGUAUUCGAUUCCUUGUAUAUUGACAGUAAUGAGUGUUGUUCAAAGCUUAACGCGAAAUCGUCCAUUCUCUCGCGUAUCAUUUGACGUAUUACGUACGCGUUUCGUAAUUUUUAUUUUUUGAUUUCGAAAUCUCAUAUGCCUUAACUGUACUUUUCUUAAAUACUAUCUCAUUUAUUUUUCAUUCGUGAAUUUUACGCGCAGAUUUCUUCAUCGAAGAGAUUACGGUACAAUGCAAACGCGUCUAUUAUUUUCUAAUUGAUUGUAAUUUCUAUGGAUUAAUCUGAUUUACACAUGGUGAAAGAGAUACAACGAGAUCAUAAAUCGAAGCAUCGAGCGAACACGUUGAUCGAUCUGAUCAUGUACGAACAUUUGAAAGUGUCAUUUGCAAGGUACCAUCGAAAUAACGCUCUGUCAAACCACCUUUUUUUUAUUUUCUAAAUAUCCCACGUAAUUAGAUACCGUACGUAUCGGUUAAAAUUAACCUGGAGCUGUAAGAAGAAAAGAAACGAUCCUUCUUGUACCACUAUAAUGGGCUGACGUCUCAUGAUCCUAACAACAACCUCGGGUGCAUAUUUCUGUUCAGAGUUCCCCAAACUUCUGUCUUGGCAAUGAAAAUCCAUAUCUCUUUCACGAAGAUUACAUUAGUCAACGUACAUUUAUAAUCUCCAAUCCCACCCAGACUAUUCUCAACGCGUUUACCUUGCCACUUUAACCAAACUAAUAAAUAGACUGCGAACGUUGCUGAGAAUUCGUGCUCUUAUACGUACAACUGAAAAGGAAAAGAGAAACUAAAAAGAAAUAUCGCAACCAAUACCAAAUUUUCUACCAAUAUAUCUCGUACAAUCUAAUCCCGUAAAACCUUCGGUGCAUCAAAUUUUCUACAAAUGCACGAACAUCCGCAGUUCGCUGUAUCAAAAAUCGCUGUACGGCGUGGGGCUGAUCUUUGAUUGGCGAGCUAUAGCUCCUGAAGAAAGCUGCACAUGUAAGCUUUCCCCGGGCAGCGCGCAACGCCGCGAUUACAGACCCACUUUCGGUCAGGUUCUGUCGCGUCGGAAACCAAAACUCUCGGCCGCAUAACAGAUACGUAACAAGGAAGGAAUUCGUACGAAAGGAGGACGCGGGGGCAAAAAGGCAGCGGAAGACGACGUGCGUAAAAUUUCUCGCCACUCUGGUCGAUCGUAAAUUGCUCUCUUUCUCUCUUUUACUUUUCAUCUGGUGGCGCGCGUGAUUCACAUCGUCCCACGGUACAAACAGAAGAGCAGAGAGAGAGAGAGAGAGAACUCUAUAAAUACAUAAUGCGUUUUCUGACUCAUCCCGGCGGAUCUAUCGCGAUCGUUGAAUGGCCUCUAAAAUCGUCGGCCCCGGCCUUUCCACGCGCGUUUUUUUAUAACCACUGUGCAAGCACCAGCCGAUUUUCAGUCAGUUGCGCGUCGAUCGACUCGGCCACUGGUCUCUUCUGCGCAUCCAGUCCGUUUCGUAUGGUUGCGCUCUGGAAUCCGAUCGACGACGACUGAAUUUCCCUUUCGGGACGAUCCGAUUCUUUCAUCGCGUCCGCGAGUUUUUUCUCCGCGUCUCCUUAAACGGUUCUGUCGCUGGUUUUGUCUAGCGGCUCUAGGCCGCUCGUCUUGCAGACAGCGAGGCAGUUGAAUGUUCGCAGCCAUCGUAUAAAACCGUAUCACCUUGCUUAGUUUCAAAAUGCCCCAGCUAGCCGUGCUCUUUCAUUUUCGAAGGCACAGUGAUUCGUUCAUUCAUAUGUAUGACGCGUUUAAAAAGCUUUUCGUUCGUUUCUGUAAUAAGCAUGAAACUUUAUUCGCAGGCAAAACCGGGAAAGGGUUGAUAUAAUCGAACUUGGCGUGACAGAAUUAUUUAUCGAUCGUUCUUACCGUCUAUAAUUUUUCCUCCAAACGACGGUUCGCGUUCGUGUAAGUUGAACGAAUAAGAAACGAGUAAACGAAAAUUCUCGUGAUAUUUAUAAUAUCGCAGAGCCUUGAAACACUUGGAAAGAGAAUCGUCGAAUCUCUUAACCGUCCGAUUCUCUGGAACGUAGCAAAUUCUCCGUUCCCUUACGAAUUAGCGGUAUAAAUUGUAAUUAAGAUAAGAAGAAGAUGAUUCGAAGAAAACUUGUUACACGAAAAAUAGAUAAAUUUGAAUCUGCUAAGUAUACAAAUGACCAACGCGUUGAAUCAUUCAUAAGCCGACAAUUUAAAUAGUUCUUUCUGUAUGCGCAUUCUAAAUAAGCUUUGUUAGACCUCGUAUUCGCCACUUGAAAUUAACGAUUACAAAUCUCAAUGGAUUCUCGUUCGCGUACAAGGCGGGUCAAACGUUCACGUUGAUCGUAAUACCUAUUCCUUCCAGUACAGAGGGUUGCGACACGAAAUGCAAUUAGGCCGAUGGAGAAGUAUCGGGAUUGCGUCAUCGAGCGAACGGUUUCAAGUCGAGAACAAGUCAUUUUGCACGGUCGCCUAAUUCGGCCUCGAGCGAACGCGAUUUCAUGACGGAGCUCGUCGAUGCGCCGAUUAGUGUGUCAGUAGGUUGCCAAUUCCAUUCGCGAGUCGACCGAAUUUGGUGCUGUUUCGAGGACGGGGUUCCGCGUAGUCGCGUCACGCUACUGCGCGUAGCGAUUUAUAUUCGCCUUUAUCGAUCCUACUUUUCUAAUCGUUCUUCUUUUCUUAUUUUCUAGUUUUCGCGUGAAUUUCAAGUUUCUCAAAUCUUCAGAAUUUCCUCUUCAACCGGCAGAAAUUUCGUACGUUAGAUUUCGAUCGAAACGCGUAUUUAAUUUCUUCUUCUUCGUGCAAGUCGAUUUUAAUGAUAUUGUCGAUGUUUAAACGAGAGGAGAGAGGGGGAGGAUGUAAUGGAAAUUUCAAUCUCUGUGCAUCGUUGUCGAAGAGUUAUCGGUUUGAUAGUAAGAGGAGCGGGAGCGUGAUACGAAUUUGCCUGGACCACGUAACGCCUUCGCGCAUACUAAUAAUUAGUAAAAACACGUACACUGAUCCUGUCAUACGUUUUAAUCUUUAUCUUUGAAGGAUCUUCGAUUGUGAAAUGGAACAAUUCGAGGAUUCGAAAGGUUCGAAGACUGAAAGUUUGAGAGUUUUAAUAAACCUCGGAAUUUUGAAAUUCGGAAAUUUGAAUUUUCGACAUGACGAGGAAAGGCUUGGCAGUUUGUAAAUGUGACAGCCUGAGAAUUUAACAUUUCGUAAAUUCAUAAGAAAUUUAAAAUUUAGAAAUUCGAUGGUUGGAAAACUUGGAAUUUCGGAAGUUUCGAAAUUUAGAAAUUUCACUUUUCGUAAGUUCGCAAUUUGUUAAUUUUAUACUCUAAAAACGUACGUAAACCCUGAAUAGAAAAGAACAAUGCCACGGACGUUAGCAGUUGACUAAUUGAAAAACAUCGAUCGGAUCGAAUAAUUUUACAGAGAGAAAAUACAUAAUUAGCAGUCGCGUACGAAUGAACACGCGUCGCGUGUCAAACGACGUACGCGUAAGUUCGUGAGGUUGUCAACUCUAUUAUGAGUUCGUGAAAAACUAAUGAGCUGUCUUUUAUAACGCAAUUAGGUACGCGACUUCCCGUGACAUACUUUCCCAUAUUUUCUUACCGUUUUAUCGCGGUAUUAUCGGUGUUACGUGAUAACCUCUGGCAAUCUGUUUAAAUGAAGAAUAAUUACUAUACACGAUUGUAAAAAUUGUGAUAACAUAAGAGGAAAAGUAUCUGCGUAUUAUUGUAUUAGCAUCGACGUACUAAUUAAAUAGGCCCAUGUAUAUUAAAUUUCAUAUCAUUUAACAGUAUUUUCAUGUGACUAUAGAAACUUAAUACUACGAUAACGAAACUUAGAAGCUGAUAAAAAAUGUUUCGUUGGAAACUAAGAAUAUACGACGAUAUCUUUUGCACUCAUUGUAUAAACAUACUAAGAUUACGUGAAAUUUAAACCAAUUAAUUGAUACAAUAGUCGAUCAAUUAUUUUUAUUCUCUUUCACCCAUUUUAUUGCUCAGAAGAGACGAAUAUAAAUGUUGUAAUUUUUAAUAUAAAAAUAGAUGAUUAUUCUGAAGUGUCAUAUUGGCAAUUGUUAUCGGAAAUUAUAUCAAAUAUUGAUAUUUGCCGAUUGAAGUAUUAAUUAGCAGGAAACAUUUUGACAACCGAUCAGAAAUCAGAUAAGAUUAUCAUUCGUCAAUAUCUUAGGAUAACUA
rnacentral:lncRNA from 1 species